rnacentral:rRNA from 1 species
UAACAAGGAUUCCCCUAGUAACUGCGAGUGAAGCGGGAAAAGCUCAAAUUUAAAAUCUGGCGGUCUUCUGGCCGUCCGAGUUGUAGUCUGGAGAAGCGUUUUCCGCGUUGGACCGUGUACAAGUUUCCUGGAACGGAGCGUCAUAAAGGGUGAGAAUCCCGUCUUUGACACGGAUCCCAAUGCUUUGUGAUGCGCUCUCAAAGAGUCCAGUUGUUUGGGAAUGCAGCUCAAAAUGGGUGGUGAAUUCCAUCUAAAGCUAAAUAUUGGCGAGAGACCGAUAGCGAACAAGUACCGUGAGGGAAAGAUGAAAAGCACUUUGGAAAGAGAGUUAAACAGUACGUGAAAUUGUUGAAAGGGAAACGCUUGAAGUCAGUCGCGUCGGCCGGGACUCAGCCUUGCAUCCGCUUGGUGUACUUUCCGGUCGACGGGCCAGCAUCAGUUUUGACCGCGAGAUUAAGGCGGAGGGAAUGUGGCUCUCUCGGGAGUGUUAUAGCCCUUCGUCAGAUGUCGCGGUUGGGACUGAGGAACUCAGCACGCCUUUAUGGCCGGGGCUCGCCCACGUACGUGCUUAGGAUGCUGGCGUAAUGGCUUUAAACGACCCGUCUUGAAACACGGACCAAGGAGUCUAACAUGCCUGCGAGUGUUCGGGUGGAAAACCCGUGCGCGCAAUGAAAGUGAAAUUUGGGAUCCCUGUCUUGGGGUGCACCGACGCCCGGCCCAGACCUUUUGUGACGGAGCUGCGGUAGAGCAUGUAUGUUGGGACCCGAAAGAUGGUGAACUAUGCCUGAAUAGGGUGAAGCCAGAGGAAACUCUGGUGGAGGCUCGUAGCGAUUCUGACGUGCAAAUCGAUCGUCAAAUUUGGG